GUGAAAAUCAGAACAGCAUUCAGGAAAGAAAAGGAACUUGUAAAAGUCCUUUCUGACAAGUGCCUGGAUCAGGAUCAUGACAGUUUGCAUGUAAAAGUUAGUGCUUAAUGGCAAGCUGCACUGGCCAUCAACUUCAGUGACCAGAAUGGAAAAGUCUUCUGCAAAACCCUGUUCCUUUCAGAACAGAUCGAGGAAAGCUACUCAGUGCUUUGGCCUGACUCCUACCCAGGUGGACACUCAGAUGUAUAGAAACCCUGCUCUGCACCUUGCUUCAAUGGGAAGGGAUUCUUGGUGGUUGAACUAGAAGAGAGUUGCAGCAUCCUCUGACCACAUCCCAGUUAAAGCAGACUAUUUGUGGAUCUUCUUUAUAGCAUGAUCAAGGAGUUAACUACUUCAGCUACUUGUGUGAGGAGACACGAAGACUCAAAAAGCAUGAAGUACCCUGGCUGGAGGUUGACGAAGGAAAAACUCAUAGGAUGCAUAUUUCCUGUGUGGAAGAAAGAGGAAGCUAGAUCAGGCUACAAGG